UAAGACAGAGGUGCCGAGCGUUAGGCGGAAUCACUGGGCUUAAAGCGUGUGUAGGCGGACCCCUAAGCGCCAUUGUGAAAUCCCGCCGCUCAACGGCGGAACCGCGUGGCGGACUGGGGGUCUUGAGGAACUCAGGGGCGAGCGGAACAGGCGGUGGAGCGGUGAAAUGCGUAGAUAUCGCCUGGAACGCCGACGGUGAAAACAGCUCGCUGGGGGUUUUCUGACGCUGAGACACGAAAGCCAGGGGAGCGAACGGGAUUAGAUACCCCGGUAGUCCUGGCCCUAAACGAUGUCCACUAGGCCGCGGCCCGCCUUUGACGGGCGGUCGCGGCCGGAGCAAAAGUGUUAAGUGGACCGCCUGGGAAGUACGGUCGCAAGGCUA
rnacentral:rRNA from 1 species